GAUGAACGCUGGCGGCGUGCCUAAUACAUGCAAGUCGAGCGAACAGACGAGGAGCUUGCUCCUCUGACGUUAGCGGCGGACGGGUGAGUAACACGUGGAUAACCUCCCUAUAAGACUGGGAUAACUUCGGGACACCGGUGCUAAUACCGGAUAAUAUAUUGAACCGCAUGGUUCAAUAGUGAAAUACGGUUUUGCUGUCACUUAUAGAUUGAUCCGCGCCGCAUUAGCUAGUUGGUAAGGUAACGGCUUACCAAGGCGACGAUUCGUAGCCGGCCUGAGAGGGUGAUCGGCCACACUGGAACUGAGACACGGUCCAGACUCCUACGGGAGGCAGCAGUAGGGAAUCUUCCGCAAUGGGCGAAAGCUUGACGGAGCAACGCCGCGUGAGUGAUGAAGGUCUUCGGAUCGUAAAACUCUGUUAUUAGGAAAGAACAAAUUUGUAAGUAACUAUGCACGUCUUGACGGUACCUAAUCAGAAAGCCACGGCUAACUACGUG
rnacentral:rRNA from 1 species